rnacentral:tRNA from 1 species
GCCGGUUUAGCUCAGUGGUAGAGCAAUGCUUUUGUAAAGCGGAGGUCGUGGGUUCGAAUCCUACAACCGGCA